rnacentral:rRNA from 1 species
AAUAGAUACCCCGGUAGUCCACGCCGUAAACUAUGAUUACUCGAUGUCGGCGAUAUACUGUCGGUGUCCAAGCGAAAGUGAUAAGUAAUCCACCUGGGGAGUACGAUCGCAAGGUUGAAACUCAAAGGAAUUGACGGGGGCCCGCACAAGCGGUGGAGCAUGUGGUUUAAUUCGAUGAUACGCGAGGAACCUUACCUGGGCUUGAAUGCAUUAUGACCGUCCCGGAAACGGGACUUUCUUCGGACAGAAUGCAAGGUGCUGCAUGGUUGUCGUCAGCUCGUGCUGUGAGGUGUCGGGUUAAGUCCCAUAACGAGCGCAACCCCUAUUCUUAGUUGCCAGCGGGUAAUGCCGGGGACUCUAAGAAACUGCCCGCGUAAGCGGUGAGGAAGGUGGGGAUGACGGUCAAAUCAUCACGGCCCUUACGUCCAGGGCUACACACGUGCUACAAUGGUCAGUACAAAGGGCAGCUACCUGGUGACAGGAUGCUAAUCUCGAAAACUGAUCUCAGUUCGGAUCGAAGU